rnacentral:lncRNA from 1 species
GAACAUUUGUUUUUGAGAGUGCAACGGAGCAUGUUCACAAGGUCACGCAACCAGCACCUCCGUCCAACCCCAGGAGGUCCGCAUUGACCCAGGGAAACGCCACACUCAUCAGAAGUCACUCCGACCCUCCCCACAGUCAGUGGCAGUGGCCUUCUGUCCCCACCACCCUGCUGGUUUUGGACGUUUCAGAUCAACAGACGCACACCGUGGUUUUUGUGUCUGGCUUUAGGUUUUCAAGUUCCUCGGGCCGUAGCCCGGGUCUGCAUGUUUUUCCUUUAUGGCCCAAUAAUACUCCCCUGUGUGGGUGUGUCCCAUUUGGUCUACCUGCUCUUAGCCGAUGGCAUUGGAGCUUCCCCUGGGGACUAUUAUAAACAGUGUCACUGUGAAUAUUUACAUGUGAGAUCUUAGCGGAUGUGUUUCUGCUUUUCUCGGGUACAAGCCUGGGAAUGAAAUCACGAGGCAUGGGGCAGCUCUGAGGUUUGAUAUUCUGAGAAGCCAUCAGUCUGUUUCCUCUCUCUUUUUUUUCUGUCUCCUGGGGAUCGGACCCAGGCACCUUCCCAUCUGUAAACAGGUGGCUUGCGCCUUCCUGGUUGGGCUCUGCAUGGAUCUGGACGCUCGAUGCUGGUCAGACACAGGAUCUGCCCACUCGGUUCCCGGUCUGAGUUGCCUUUUGACUUUCUUGAGGUGCCCUUUCGGAUCACACACCUUUUUAACGCUGAUGGAGCUCAGUGCCUCUGUUUCUUUCGCCACUUCAGUUUUUGUGCGGAAUCUAAAUCCUUUCUCAGUCCACAGUGGGGAAGAUUCACGCCAGUGUGUCCACAGAAGAGUCACCCCCACAUCUGGGCCCGAGACCCGCCUGGAGUUAACUGGUCUGUGGUGAGAAGGAGGGAGUCCGCCCUCCUCCUUCCCUUGUGACAUCAUUUUUCUUGUCAAUAUUUGUGCCGAUUCUCGUCCACUGCACUGCCUCGGCACCUCUUUGUUGAAGAUCAGCUGAUCAUAAAUGUGGGGAUCUACCUUGGGCUCUGCCCGUCGCUCUCUGCUUUUCCCAGUUCACCUCCUUGACUCUUCCUCCUCGUGCUGCAUCCAGCUGCUCCACAACAGAGAACUGGGUCUGUGUGGGGUUUGUGUGGCUCAUGGAGCCGUGGAGAUCAAGAGGGACACUGUCCUUGCCUCCGUGGACCUGACGUUCUUCCAGGAAUGGAUAGGCAAAGUGCAAGAGCAGACGCGUACUAAGAGGUGAUUUCAGGUAGUGCUUAGUGGGUGCGGGAAGACAAGACACUAUGUGACAGAGAGGGGCUGGUGGAGAAUUACAGGGCACUUCCACAGCGGAAUGCCAAGGAAGGCCACUCUGAGGAGCUAACAUUUGAGAAGGAGAAGUCAGCCACACAGAUCUGCCAGGCAGAGGGGCAGAAUAUGACUGAAGAUGAAACUGAUCCACUAAGGAGGGCAAACAGAGGCAUGCAGAACUGUCAAGACACAGCCUAGAUUAAACUGUGCCUGAAUUCCACCUUGGACUUUUUAGUCCUUGGGCCUUUGUUUCUCUUAUUGCUCAGCGGGUUAGAAUUGACUUUUCUGUUACAAACAGUAGUGUCCACACUGAAGUUCACGUUAGACCAUAAGCUGUGUCAAGGUUGGGGAAUAAUUGUCUGGUUCAACUUUGCAUGCACUCAGCUCUUGUAGGUCACAUUUUAAGAGGACCAGCUUUUUUUGUUUUUCUUAAACCACUGGAAGGCUUGGUGGUAUUGUGCCCGGCAGCCAGGACGGAACUGAAUCAGGGUCCCACUUUGGGUGUGGAGGCUGCUCUGAAGAGGAACUGACCCACGAGGAAGGCAGAACAGAGAGGACCACUUUUUCCAGGAAAAUUUUUCUUAGAGCCUGUGUGUCGGGUUCAUUUACUUACAUGCCUGUCCCGCGUGUGAGCCUGUGAGAUGCCCUGGACCAUCACACGCCCAGUGCCAGGAACACAGAAAUGAAGGACUGAGUCCACAGAUGAAUGUGUUGCCUAUUAAUUCUCUCUCUUUUUGAGGUACUAGGGAUUGAAUAUGCACCCUCAUGCAUGGUAAGGAAGUGCUCUGCCCCAGACCUUGAAAACUUUUCUAAAUUUUGAAAGGGUCUUGCUAAGUUGAGGCUGGACUUGAACUUGCGAUCCUCCUCCUGCCUCAGCCUCCGGGGUAGCUGGGGUUACAGGCAAGCGCCACCACGCGUGGCCACAGUGUUUAUUGCUAGCGUGCAGUUCUUUCCUGACUUCCUUCCUUCCUCCCUCCCUCUCUUGUCCCCUCCCUCCUUCCUCCUCUCUCUCUUCUCUUUCUCUUCUGCCUUAGCUGGGCAAAUUGACAGCAAGGUGCUCCAAAGCAGGGUUCUCUUUAAAGUCAAUUCCAGAGACUUGAGAGGCUGCGGCAGGAGGAUCACAAGUUUGAGGCCAGCAUUGACAACUCAGCGAGGCCCUAAGCAAGACCCUGUCUCAAAAUUUAAAAAGUAAAAUAAAAUAAAAAGGGCUGAGGAUAUAGCUCAGUGGGAAAGCACCCCUGGGUUCCAUCCCCAGGACCAUUCCUCCCAAACAAAAAACUGACUGGGGAUUUGGCUCAAUUGGUAGAGUGCUUGCCUCACAUGCACAAGGCAUGUUCAGUCCAGUAGAGGGCGCCCACAACAACCAGUAGAAAGAACAAGGGACGGUAGGGCAGGAAGCAGGCUUCCCAGUUGUCCACUGGUCACAGUGCUCUUCCAGGGAGGCUGACCUGCCCAGAUACAGGGGGUGUCAAAUUCAUGAUGCCAGCCCCUUCCUUCUGGUGGCAACUUAAUAUUCUUAAUAGAUAAUGCAUUCACAAGGUUUCAAAUAAAAUAAAAAGAUAAAUAGUAACAUUUCCGCCCCCUCCGUGGGCUUUUUGCUUUACCUCCUCAGCAAGUUCCAUUGUGAUUGUUCUCUUGAGUGCUUUUUGAGAAGGUUUAAUGCACAUAUCAACAGGUAUGAAUGUCUAUUUACCCGUGCUCCAUUUUAUCCCAAAGUAGCAGUGUUCUGAACACGCUGUUCUGUACCUGGCAUGGUUUAUGUGCCAGAUCUUGUGGAACAUUCCAUAUUGGCAUAUGGAGAGGGUCCUUGUUUUUUUUUCACAGCUGCAUACUCCUCGUGUUGCACCACUCUCACCAUCUACUCACCCGUCCACCAAUGAUGGGCAGUUGGGCUAUUCCUGUCCUCUGCUGUUAGAAAUGAACCAAUACAAAACCUUGAGUAUAUAUUUUUAAAAAUAUUUAUUUUUUAGUUGUAGUUAGACACAAAUACUUUUAUUUUAUUUGUUUUUAGGCGGUGCUGAGGAUCAAACCCAGGGCUUCGGGCGUGCUACGUGAGCACGCUACCCCUGAGCCACAACUCCAGCCCCUUGAAUAUAUUUUACAUCCGUGCAAAGGUAUCUAUAGCAGUGACUCUCAGCUUCAAGUGUGCGUGAGAAUCACCCAUGGGGUUUUCAGAAGUUCCACCACCCAGGGCGUAGCUCAGACCCAUCAUCAGAAGCUCUGAGCUCGAGACCAGAGCAUCCUGGGGAUCCCAGUGUCCAGCCAGGGCUGGGUAGCCUGACCCCCCAAGGCCAUAGAGAUUUAAAGAUGUACCAGAUAUUGCCAAAUGGCCUCCACCGGAGGAGGUUUGAGGGUGUGGGAGUUGUGUCAAUUCAUGCUCCUACCAGCAGGGUCCACCAGGGCCUGGGUCUUCACAGCCUCUCCUGCUAAUGAGACUAGCCAGAGUUUGGAUUUUGCCAACCUUCGUAUGGUUGAUUAUUAUUUUUAUAACUGGGGCUGGAGUUCAGGGCCUCACACAUGGAAGGCAAGGGCUUUGAACAUUUUUUUUUUUUUUUUUUUGGUGCUGGGGAUUGAAUCCAGGGCCUUGUGCAUGUGAGGCAAGCACUCUACCAAUUGAGCCAAAUCCCC